rnacentral:rRNA from 1 species
UACGUAGGUUGCAAGCGUUGUCCGGAAUUAUUGGGCGUAAAGCGCGCGCAGGCGGUCUUUUACGUCUGAUGUGAAAGCCCCCGGCUCAACCGGGGAGGGUCAUUGGAAACUGGGAGACUUGAGUGCAGAAGAGAAGAGUGGAAUUCCACGUGUAGCGGUGAAAUGCGUAGAGAUGUGGAGGAACACCAGUGGCGAAGGCGACUCUUUGGACAGAGUCUGACGCUGAGGCGCGAAAGCUAGGGGAGCAAACAGG